rnacentral:rRNA from 1 species
CGCACGCACGCUGGCGGCGUGCCUAAUACAUGCAUGUCGAGCGGACAGAUGGGAGCUUGCUCCCUGAUGUUAGCGGCGGACGGGUGAGUAACACGUGGGUAACCUGCCUGUAAGACUGGGAUAACUCCGGGAAACCGGGGCUAAUACCGGAUGGUUGUCUGAACCGCAUGGUUCAGACAUAAAAGGUGGCUUCGGCUACCACUUACAGAUGGACCCGCGGCGCAUUAGCUAGUUGGUGAGGUAACGGCUCACCAAGGCAACGAUGCGUAGCCGACCUGAGAGGGUGAUCGGCCACACUGGGACUGAGACACGGCCCAGACUCCUACGGGAGGCAGCAGUAGGGAAUCUUCCGCAAUGGACGAAAGUCUGACGGAGCAACGCCGCGUGAGUGAUGAAGGUUUUCGGAUCGUAAAGCUCUGUUGUUAGGGAAGAACAAGUGCCGUUCAAAUAGGGCGGCACCUUGACGGUACCUAACCAGAAAGCCACGGCUAACUACGUGCCAGCAGCCGCGGUAAUACGUAGGUGGCAAGCGUUGUCCGGAAUUAUUGGGCGUAAAGGGCUCGCAGGCGGUUUCUUAAGUCUGAUGUGAAAGCCCCCGGC